UGUAUUGUAGGCACGUAGUCGCCAUGUGUUCUAUUAAAUCGAACUUACAAACAUAUUCGGAAAAAAUUAAAUUCUGUUUCAUAAAAAAUAUCGUUUUUAAUUUACAUCGAGAACAAUUCAUCCGAUAAAAAUGCAGUCUAAAUUCAAGUUUAAAACCCGAUUGGUCCGCAAGAGUUUCGAAGAGAUGAACAUCAAAACAGUGACUAUACAAACGAUAUAAAUACAAACAAAAUAAGAGCAAUAAGAUAAGACAGCCGACGAGCGGACUAAAAGGAAAAAGCAACAUUCUUAACUCACGAACUGAUUUACAUCGAGCUAUACUUGCAAGAGGAAUUAAUUUUGGCAACUUAGAGAAAAGACGGUGUCAAGAGAUUUUAGGCUCUAGCCGUCUACGGGGACUUCAUGAGAACCAAAUGUGGCAUUGAAUUCUUUCUCAACUUGGCUUAAUAUGAAAAAACAGCGACUUUGGACUUCAAACAAAAAUUUUAAAAAUUCUAAAUAACCAGACGUGACCAUCUAACAAUAAUGUAAAACCAAAAUUAAAGGCGAACUUCUCUAAGAAUCAACAACAGACGAUUUUUCUUUUUGGAAAGAGCGUAACAUUGAUCCAUUUUCAGUGGCUUUCUUUAUGGUUACCAGGGUUUUGUGGGAUGACUGAUUCGUAUAAUGAAGUCGUUAAUGCUUAGUUAAUUGCUACAACUUCAAAGCGAGUUUUGUUUCAUAUGAAGUCCCUGUAGACGGCUAGGUCCUGAAAAAUCAUGCCAUCGUCUUUUUGAUAAAAGAAUUGUUGAAAUUGAUACCUUUAAACAUGGUACGCAACCCUCGCAUGGAAAUAUUUUACCUGUGCUUAAAAUUUCAAGUGGAAUUAGAAUUUCGUUCCGGCUCCUAAGAGUUAUACAAAAUGAAAUUGUAAAAAGUAAAAUAAUAAAUUAUGUAAGUCAUU